ACGAACGCUGGCGGCGUGCCUAAUACAUGCAAGUAGAACGCUGAAGGAGGAGCUUGCUUCUCUGGAUGAGUUGCGAACGGGUGAGUAACGCGUAGGUAACCUGCCUGGUAGCGGGGGAUAACUAUUGGAAACGAUAGCUAAUACCGCAUAAGAGUAGAUGUCGCAUGACAUUUGCUUAAAAGGUGCAAUUGCAUCACUACCAGAUGGACCUGCGUUGUAUUAGCUAGUUGGUGAGGUAACGGCUCACCAAGGCAACGAUACAUAGCCGACCUGAGAGGGUGAUCGGCCACACUGGGACUGAGACACGGCCCAGACUCCUACGGGAGGCAGCAGUAGGGAAUCUUCGGCAAUGGACGGAAGUCUGACCGAGCAACGCCGCGUGAGUGAAGAAGGGUUUCGGAUCGUAAAGCUCUGUUGUAAGAGAAGAACGAGUGUGAGAGUGGAAAGUUCACACUGUGACGGUAUCUUACCAGAAAGGGACGGCUAACUACGUG
rnacentral:rRNA from 1 species